UACGGGGGGGGCAAGCGUUGUUCGGAAUUACUGGGCGUAAAGGGCUCGUAGGCGGCCAACUAAGUCAUACGUGAAAUCCCUCGGCUUAACCGGGGAACUGCGUCUGAUACUGGAUGGCUUGAGUUCGGGAGAGGGAUGCGGAAUUCCAGGUGUAGCGGUGAAAUGCGUAGAUAUCUGGAGGAACACCGGUGGCGAAGGCGGCAUCCUGGACCGAUACUGACGCUGAGGAGCGAAAGCCAGGGGAGCAAAACGGG
rnacentral:rRNA from 1 species